rnacentral:rRNA from 1 species
UACGUAGGGGGCAAGCGUUUGUCCGGAUUUAUUGGGCGUAAAGAGCGUGUAGGCGGCUGGGUAGGUCCGCUGUGAAAACUCGAGGCUUAACCUCGAGACGUCGGUGGAAACCAUCCAGCUAGAGUCCGGAAGAGGAGAGUGGAAUUCCUGGUGUAGCGGUGAAAUGCGCAGAUAUCAGGAAGAACACCCGUGGCGAAGGCGGCUCUCUGGGACGGUACUGACGCUGAGACGCGAAAGCGUGGGGAGCGAACAGG